rnacentral:rRNA from 1 species
UACGAGGGGUCCUAGCGUUGUUCGGAAUCACUGGGCGUAAAGCGCAGGUAGGCGGCUUUGUAAGUCGGGUGUGAAAGCCCACGACUCAAUCGUGGAAUGGCAUUCGAUACUGCGAAGCUUGAGUACUGGAGAGGGUGACGGAAUUCCUGGUGUAGUGGUGAAAUACGUAGAUAUCAGGAGGAACAUCGGUGGCGAAGGCGGUUGCCUGGCCAAGUACUGACGCUGAGCUGCGAAAGCGUGGGGAGCAAACAGG